GGGUUGUGAGGUUAAGCGACUAAGCGUACACGGUGGAUGCCCUGGCAGUCAGAGGCGAUGAAGGACGUGCUAAUCUGCGAUAAGCGUCGGUAAGGUGAUAUGAACCGUUAUAACCGGCGAUUUCCGAAUGGGGAAACCCAGUGUGUUUCGACACACUAUCAUUAACUGAAUCCAUAGGUUAAUGAGGCGAACCGGGGGAACUGAAACAUCUAAGUACCCCGAGGAAAAGAAAUCAACCGAGAUUCCCCCAGUAGCGGCGAGCGAACGGGGAGCAGCCCAGAGCCUGAAUCAGUGUGUGUGUUAGUGGAAGCGUCUGGAAAGGCGCGCGAUACAGGGUGACAGCCCCGUACACAAAAAUGCACAUGCUGUGAGCUCGAUGAGUAGGGCGGGACACGUGGUAUCCUGUCUGAAUAUGGGGGGACCAUCCUCCAAGGCUAAAUACUCCUGACUGACCGAUAGUGAACCAGUACCGUGAGGGAAAGGCGAAAAGAACCCCGGCGAGGGGAGUGAAAAAGAACCUGAAACCGUGUACGUACAAGCAGUGGGAGCCUCUUUUAUGGGGUGACUGCGUACCUUUUGUAUAAUGGGUCAGCGACUUAUAUUCUGUAGCAAGGUUAACCGAAUAGGGGAGCCGAAGGGAAACCGAGUCUUAACUGGGCGUUAAGUUGCAGGGUAUAGACCCGAAACCCGGUGAUCUAGCCAUGGGCAGGUUGAAGGUUGGGUAACACUAACUGGAGGACCGAACCGACUAAUGUUGAAAAAUUAGCGGAUGACUUGUGGCUGGGGGUGAAAGGCCAAUCAAACCGGGAGAUAGCUGGUUCUCCCCGAAAGCUAUUUAGGUAGCGCCUCGUGAAUUCAUCUCCGGGGGUAGAGCACUGUUUCGGCAAGGGGGUCAUCCCGACUUACCAACCCGAUGCAAACUGCGAAUACCGGAGAAUGUUAUCACGGGAGACACACGGCGGGUGCUAACGUCCGUCGUGAAGAGGGAAACAACCCAGACCGCCAGCUAAGGUCCCAAAGUCAUGGUUAAGUGGGAAACGAUGUGGGAAGGCCCAGACAGCCAGGAUGUUGGCUUAGAAGCAGCCAUCAUUUAAAGAAAGCGUAAUAGCUCACUGGUCGAGUCGGCCUGCGCGGAAGAUGUAACGGGGCUAAACCAUGCACCGAAGCUGCGGCAGCGACACUGUGUGUUGUUGGGUAGGGGAGCGUUCUGUAAGCCUGCGAAGGUGUACUGUGAGGUAUGCUGGAGGUAUCAGAAGUGCGAAUGCUGACAUAAGUAACGAUAAAGCGGGUGAAAAGCCCGCUCGCCGGAAGACCAAGGGUUCCUGUCCAACGUUAAUCGGGGCAGGGUGAGUCGACCCCUAAGGCGAGGCCGAAAGGCGUAGUCGAUGGGAAACAGGUUAAUAUUCCUGUACUUGGUGUUACUGCGAAGGGGGGACGGAGAAGGCUAUGUUGGCCGGGCGACGGUUGUCCCGGUUUAAGCGUGUAGGCUGGUUUUCCAGGCAAAUCCGGAAAAUCAAGGCUGAGGCGUGAUGACGAGGCACUACGGUGCUGAAGCAACAAAUGCCCUGCUUCCAGGAAAAGCCUCUAAGCAUCAGGUAACAUCAAAUCGUACCCCAAACCGACACAGGUGGUCAGGUAGAGAAUACCAAGGCGCUUGAGAGAACUCGGGUGAAGGAACUAGGCAAAAUGGUGCCGUAACUUCGGGAGAAGGCACGCUGAUAUGUAGGUGAAGUCCCUCGCGGAUGGAGCUGAAAUCAGUCGAAGAUACCAGCUGGCUGCAACUGUUUAUUAAAAACACAGCACUGUGCAAACACGAAAGUGGACGUAUACGGUGUGACGCCUGCCCGGUGCCGGAAGGUUAAUUGAUGGGGUCAGCGCAAGCGAAGCUCUUGAUCGAAGCCCCGGUAAACGGCGGCCGUAACUAUAACGGUCCUAAGGUAGCGAAAUUCCUUGUCGGGUAAGUUCCGACCUGCACGAAUGGCGUAAUGAUGGCCAGGCUGUCUCCACCCGAGACUCAGUGAAAUUGAACUCGCUGUGAAGAUGCAGUGUACCCGCGGCAAGACGGAAAGACCCCGUGAACCUUUACUAUAGCUUGACACUGAACAUUGAGCCUUGAUGUGUAGGAUAGGUGGGAGGCUUAGAAGUGUGGACGCCAGUCUGCAUGGAGCCGACCUUGAAAUACCACCCUUUAAUGUUUGAUGUUCUAACGUUGACCCGUGAUCCGGGUUGCGGACAGUGUCUGGUGGGUAGUUUGACUGGGGCGGUCUCCUCCUAAAGAGUAACGGAGGAGCACGAAGGUUGGCUAAUCCUGGUCGGACAUCAGGAGGUUAGUGCAAUGGCAUAAGCCAGCUUGACUGCGAGCGUGACGGCGCGAGCAGGUGCGAAAGCAGGUCAUAGUGAUCCGGUGGUUCUGAAUGGAAGGGCCAUCGCUCAACGGAUAAAAGGUACUCCGGGGAUAACAGGCUGAUACCGCCCAAGAGUUCAUAUCGACGGCGGUGUUUGGCACCUCGAUGUCGGCUCAUCACAUCCUGGGGCUGAAGUAGGUCCCAAGGGUAUGGCUGUUCGCCAUUUAAAGUGGUACGCGAGCUGGGUUUAGAACGUCGUGAGACAGUUCGGUCCCUAUCUGCCGUGGGCGCUGGAGAACUGAGGGGGGCUGCUCCUAGUACGAGAGGACCGGAGUGGACGCAUCACUGGUGUUCGGGUUGUCAUGCCAAUGGCACUGCCCGGUAGCUAAAUGCGGAAGAGAUAAGUGCUGAAAGCAUCUAAGCACGAAACUUGCCCCGAGAUGAGUUCUCCCUGACCCUUUAAGGGUCCUGAAGGAACGUUGAAGACGACGACGUUGAUAGGCCGGGUGUGUAAGCGCAGCGAUGCGUUGAGCUAACCGGUACUAAUGAACCGUGAGGCUUAACCUUACAACGCCGAAGGUGUUU
rnacentral:rRNA from 1 species